GAAAUGCGAUAAGUAAUGUGAAUUGCAGAAUUCAGUGAAUCAUCGAAUCUUUGAACGCACCUUGCGCUCCUUGGUUUUCCUUGGAGCAUGCCUGUUUGAGUAUCAUGAAAUCUUCAAAGUAAAUCUUUUGUUAACUCAAUUGGUUUCUACUUUGGUAUUGGAGGUCUUUGCAGCUUCACACCUGCUCCUCUUUGUUCAUUAGCUGGAUCUCAGUGUUAUGCUUGGUUCCACUCGGCGUGAUAAGUUAUCUAUCGCUGAGGACACUGUAAAAGGUGGCCAAGGUAAAUGCAGAUGAACCGCUUCUAAUAGUCCAUUGACUUGGACAAUACUUUUAUGAUCUGAUCUCAAAUCAGGUAGGACUACCCGCUGAACUUAAGC
rnacentral:misc_RNA from 1 species